UACGUAGGGAGCAAGCGUUGUCCGGAAUCAUUGGGCGUAAAGCGCGCGUAGGCGGCCCUGUAAGUCCGUUGUGAAAGUCAAAGGCUCAACCUUUGAAAGCCGAUGGAUACUGCAGGGCUAGAGUCCGGAAGAGGCGAGUGGAAUUCCUGGUGUAGCGGUGGAAUGCGCAGAUAUCAGGAGGAACACCAAUAGCGAAGGCAGCUCUCUGGGACGGUACUGACGCUGAGACGCGAAAGCGUGGGGAGCGAACAGG
rnacentral:rRNA from 1 species